GGCGUUUAAUAAUACGAAGUAUUGGAUACAAUACUUAAUACUAAUAGUGUGCAUUUUAUCUUAGAGAAAUAAAUCUACUAAAGAUGGAUGCAGAGAAGCACUAAGCAUGGCUAGCAAAAUGCAAAUACAUAUUGCUGUGAUUGUUGCGUUCUACGCUUUAUUGUUAAACCAAUACACACUUUGUCAGUUUGUUGACUGUGGUGGUGAUUUGUCUGACCAGGCAGGGGUGAUAACAUCUCCAAAGUUUCCAAGCAGCUACCCAGAUAAUUCUUUAUGUCAAUGGCAUAUCACUGUAGCAGAAAACCAGGUCAUCAG
rnacentral:sRNA from 1 species